rnacentral:rRNA from 1 species
AUGCAGUCGAACGAUGAUGCCCAGCUUGCUGGGUGGAUUAGUGGCGAACGGGUGAGUAACACGUGAGUAACCUGCCCCUGACUCUGGGAUAAGCGUUGGAAACGACGUCUAAUACUGGAUAUGAUCACUGGCCGCAUGGUCUGGUGGUGGAAAGAUUUUUUGGUUGGGGAUGGACUCGCGGCCUAUCAGCUUGUUGGUGAGGUAAUGGCUCACCAAGGCGACGACGGGUAGCCGGCCUGAGAGGGUGACCGGCCACACUGGGACUGAGACACGGCCCAGACUCCUACGGGAGGCAGCAGUGGGGAAUAUUGCACAAUGGGCGAAAGCCUGAUGCAGCAACGCCGCGUGAGGGAUGACGGCCUUCGGGUUGUAAACCUCUUUUAGUAGGGAAGAAGCGAAAGUGACGGUACCUGCAGAAAAAGCACCGGCUAACUACGUGCCAGCAGCCGCGGUAAUACGUAGGGUGCAAGCGUUGUCCGGAAUUAUUGGGCGUAAAGAGCUCGUAGGCGGUUUGUCGCGUCUGCUGUGAAAUCCCGAGGCUCAACCUCGGGCUUGCAGUGGGUACGGGCAGACUAGAGUGCGGUAGGGGAGAUUGGAAUUCCUGGUGUAGCGGUGGAAUGCGCAGAUAUCAGGAGGAACACCGAUGGCGAAGGCAGAUCUCUGGGCCGUAACUGACGCUGAGGAGCGAAAGCAUGGGGAGCGAACAGGAUUAGAUACCCUGGUAGUCCAUGCCGUAAACGUUGGGCGCUAGAUGUAGGGACCUUUCCACGGUUUCUGUGUCGUAGCUAACGCAUUAAGCGCCCCGCCUGGGGAGUACGGCCGCAAGGCUAAAACUCAAAGGAAUUGACGGGGGCCCGCACAAGCGGCGGAGCAUGCGGAUUAAUUCGAUGCAACGCGAAGAACCUUACCAAGGCUUGACAUACACCGGAAACGGCCAGAGAUGGUCGCCCCCUUGUGGUCGGUGUACAGGUGGUGCAUGGUUGUCGUCAGCUCGUGUCGUGAGAUGUUGGGUUAAGUCCCGCAACGAGCGCAACCCUCGUUCUAUGUUGCCAGCGGGUUAUGCCGGGGACUCAUAGGAGACUGCCGGGGUCAACUCGGAGGAAGGUGGGGAUGACGUCAAAUCAUCAUGCCCCUUAUGUCUUGGGCUUCACGCAUGCUACAAUGGCCGGUACAAAGGGCUGCGAUACCGUAAGGUGGAGCGAAUCCCAAAAAGCCGGUCUCAGUUCGGAUUGAGGUCUGCAACUCGACCUCAUGAAGUCGGAGUCGCUAGUAAUCGCAGAUCAGCAACGCUGCGGUGAAUACGUUCCCGGGCCUUGUACACACCGCCCGUCAAGUCAUGAAAGUCGGUAACACCCGAAGCCGGUGGCCUAACCCUU